UGGGGUGUGGCUCAGUGAUAGAGCGCUCCGCUCGCCUAGCAUGUGCUGGGCACUGGGUUCGAUCCUCAGCACCACAU
rnacentral:tRNA from 1 species